AGAGUUUGAUUCUGGCUCAGGAUGAACGCUGGCGGCGCGCUUAACACAUGCAAGUCGAACGGUUAAAGCACCUCCGGGUGUGCAUAAAGUGGCGAACGGCUGAGUAACACGUGGGCAACCUGCCCCCCGCACCGGGAUAGCCUCGGGAAACCGUGGGUAAUACCGGAUACUCCGCCACCCCCGCAUGGGGGAGGCGGGAAAGCGUACACGGCGGGGGAUGGGCCCGCGGCCUGUUAGCUCGUUGGCGGGGUAACGGCCCACCAAGGCGAUUAUGGGUAGCCGGGUUGAGAGACCGACCGGCCAGAUUGGGACUGAGACACGGCCCAGACUCCUACGGGAGGCAGCAGUGGGGAAUCUUGCACAAUGGGCGAAAGCCUGAUGCAAGCGACGCCGCGUGCGGGAUGAAGGCCCUCGGGUUGUAAACCGCUUUCAGCAGGGACGAGGCGCAAGUGACGGUACCUGCAGAAGAAGCCCCGGCUAACUACGUGCCAGCAGCCGC
rnacentral:rRNA from 1 species